CACGACAUAAGAAGUUGCAUAAUCGCCUCUUGGAUCACUUUCAACCAACCAUUUAGAGAUUCAUAAUCUAUGGGCUAUUCUGAAUUGCAGAAAGAAUGAAAACUUUAGUUUAACUGUAUUUACAACCAUACCAUAGAAAUAUUGAAAAACUGGCUGCAUUCUCUGUAUUUAAUAUUGUGUAAAAUCUAGUGAAAUUUUAAAAUUUCUUUGGAAUAUUGCUACAUAAAUCAAGAGUUAAACAAUGGAUAUUGUCGCUGAGAAACUUGAAGCUUUGAUUUCCUGCGCUGAAAAUUCUCUUGACUCUAUUGAAAUUCAGCUUGAAACUGAGUUGACCAAGCAAUCUGGAAUGCAGCUCAACCCAGUUGCCUUGUUCAGUGCUAUUGAAGAUUCUAAGAAAGAAUUGGCGGAACUAAAAAGGGAAAUGAACCUUCUUGUCAAAGCUCAGGAGG
rnacentral:misc_RNA from 1 species